AAAGGGAGACCUAAUUCAGGUAGGAGACGAAAAAAAAGUAGUCGCUACCAAGAAUCAAUCCCAAAAGGUCGGAGCGAGGCGAAAUUGGCUUUCAAACUAGGUUCUGGGUUCACACAAGACCUGAAUCAGGAACAAGGGCUAUUAGCUCAGAUGGUUAGAGCGCACCCCUGAUAAGGGUGAGGUCCCUGGUUCGAGUCCAGGAUGGCCCACCUGUACAGGUGGCAAAAAGAAAGAAAAGAAGCGAGGAAUCAGCACCUUAUCUUAUUUAUAUAGUAAGAGAGAAUGCUGGCUCUGAGUAAAGAGUCCAGAGGAACCUUGAAAACUGCAUAGAGCUAGGUGAAAAAGCCAAAAAAGAAGACCGCAAG
rnacentral:tRNA from 1 species